GCUCCUUAUCCCAUUCUCACUGAUUCAUCAAUCCAAGGGCUUUACUUUGCACUUUCCAUAGGAAGACUUCCCAUCAAGGGGGAAAUUUCUCCCUUAAUGGGAAAUCUUCCUAU